rnacentral:rRNA from 1 species
UUAUAUUUUAUUUAUUAAUUAAUUUUUUUUUUAUUAUAAGUUAUUAAAAGUAAUUAUUAUGGGAUUUGUUUGAGUAUUUUAUAAAGAAAAAAUAAUUUUAAUUAUAGUUAAAUAGUAUUGUGAAAGAAAAUUGAAAUAAUUUGAAAAAUUAAUAUUUUAAAAGAAAAUUUAAUUUAUUGUAUCUUGUGUAUCAGGGUUUAUCAAAUAAAAAUUAUUUAUAAUAAUUUUCUCGAUUUUAAAAGAGUUAAUAUACUAUAAAAGUUAAUGUGACAAAAUUAUUUUGUAUAGUAUAUUAGAAAUGAAAUGUUAUUCGUUUUUAAAGGUAUCUAGUUCUUUAAGAAAUAAAUUUAAUUUAGGAAUUUUAUAUUAUUUAGUUAAGUAUAUUAAUUAAAUAAUUGUUUUAUUCUAAUAUUUUGUGGGAUAAGCUAUGAAAUAAAUUAUUAAAAAUUAUUAAGUAAUUUAAUAAAUAUAAGCUUAGAAAUAGCUAUUAUUAAUAAAAUUGUUAUAAUUUAUUUUAUUAUAUUGAUUAUUUAUUAAAUUUUAAUUAUGUAUUAAAGUAUUUAUUUUAAUUUAAAAAAUAAAAAAAUAAUGAUAAAAUUAGUAUAUUAUAUUGUAUAAAUAUAAUAAAUUGAAAAGUUUUUAUAAAGAACUCGGCAAAAAUAAUGUUCGCCUGUUUAACAAAAACAUGUCUUUUUGAAUUUUUUUAAAAGUCUAGCCUGCCCACUGAAUAAUUUAAAUGGCCGCAGUAUACUAACUGUGCAAAGGUAGCAUAAUCAUUAGUCUUUUAAUUGAAGGCUGGUAUGAAUGGUUGGACGAGAUAUUAACUGUUUCAUAAAAAUUUAUAGUAGAAUUUUAUUUUUUAGUCAAAAAGCUAAAAUAAUAUUAAAAGACGAGAAGACCCUAUAAAUCUUUAUAUAUAAAUUGUUGGAAUUUUGUAGAUUUUUUUUAUUACAAUAGUUGAUUAUAUUUUAUUGGGGUGAUAUUAAAAUUUAAUAAACUUUUAAUUUUUUCUUAUCAUUAAUUUAUGAAUAAUUGAUCCGUUAAUAGCGAUUAAAAAAAUAAGUUACUUUAGGGAUAACAGCGUAAUUUUUUUGGAGAGUUCAUAUCGAUAAAAAAGAUUGCGACCUCGAUGUUGGAUUAAGAUAUAGUUUUAGGUGUAGCCGCUUAAAUUUUAAGUCUGUUCGACUUUUAAAUUCUUACAUGAUCUGAGUUCAAACCGGCGUAAGCCAGGUUGGUUUCUAUCUUUAAUUAAUUAAAAUAUUUCAGUACGAAAGGACCUAAUAUUUAAUAAAUUAUUAUUUUUAUAAUGAAUAUAAAUAAUUU